AACGCAAAUUGCACUCUCUUCGGAGAGUAUGCCUGUUUGAGGGUCAGUAUUAAUAAAAAUCGGCGUGUUGCUCUUUUGUGACGUUCCGGAGUUUGGGUCAUCUUAUAACAACACCCUUUUUCAGGGUAUUUUUAAGAGGCUUAAAAUUGACCUUUUUUGUGCAUUUUUAUAGACGUACAUAAAUUUUUUUUAUUUGUUUAUUCUAAUGCCAAAAUCUAUUAGAUGCGACCAUAUCAUGUGGUUCCGUGUCUAUAAAUUUUUCAUGAUUUGACCUCAAAUCAGGUAAGAACACCCGCUGAACUUAA
rnacentral:misc_RNA from 1 species